UACGUAGGGUGCGAGCGUUUAAUCGGAAUUACUGGGCGUAAAGCGUGCGCAGGCGGUUUUGUAAGCCAGAUGUGAAAUCCCCGGGCUUAACCUGGGAAUGGCAUUUGGGACUGCAAGGCUGGAGUACGGCAGAGGAGACUGGAAUUCCUGGUGUAGCAGUGAAAUGCGUAGAGAUCAGGAGGAAUACCGAUGGCGAAGGCAGGUCUCUGGGCUGAUACUGACGCUCAUG
rnacentral:rRNA from 1 species